CGCUGGCGGCACGCCUUAUACAUGCAAGUCGAACGAAGUAGCAAUACUUAGUGGCAGACGGGUGAGUAACAUGUGGGUAUCUUCCCUUUGGUGAGGAAUAACACGAGGAAACUUGUGCUAAUACCUCAUAAGUCUUUACGGAGAAAGCUUUAUGCGCCAAUGGAUGAGCCCGCACUUGAUUAGUUUGUUGGUGGGGUAAUGGCCUACCAAGACUUUGAUCAAUAGCUGAUCUGAGAGGAUGAUCAGCCACAUUGGGACUGAGACACGGCCCAAACUCCUACGGGAGGCAGCAGUAGGGAAUAUUGCACAAUGGAGGAAACUCUGAUGCAGCGAUGCCGCGUGAGUGAAGAAGGCCCUUGGGUUGUAAAGCUCUUUCGUCGGGGAAGAAAAUGACUGUACCCGAAUAAGAAGGUCCGGCUAACUUCGUGCCAGCAGCCGCGGUAAUACGAAGGGACCUAGCGUAGUUCGGAAUUACUGGGCUUAAAGAGUUCGUAGGUGGUUAAAAAAGUUGGUUGUGAAAUCCCGGAGCUUAACUCCGGAACUGCAAUCAAAACUUUUUAGCUAGAGUAUGAUAGAGGAAAGCAGAAUUUCUAGUGUAGAGGUGAAAUUCGUAGAUAUUAGAAAGAAUACCAAUUGCGAAGGCAGCUUUCUGGAUCAUUACUGACACUGAGGAACGAAAGCAUGGGUAGCGAAGAGGAUUAGAUACCCUCGUAGUCCAUGCCGUAAACGAUGUGUGUUAGACGUUGGAAAUUAAUUUUUAGUGUCGCAGCGAAAGCAAUAAACACACCGCCUGGGGAGUACGACCGC
rnacentral:rRNA from 1 species